rnacentral:rRNA from 1 species
GAGCACGUAGGUGGGUUUGUAAGUCAGAUGUGGAGGCCUUCUGUUCAACGGAAGAAUUGCAUCUGAAACUGCGAGUCUUGAGUGUAGGAGGGGAGAAUGGAACUUCUGGUGGAGCGGUGAAAUGCGUAGAUAUCAGAAGGGACGCCGACGGCGAAAGCGAUUCUCUGGCCUAUUACUGACACUCAGUGUGCGAAAGCUAGGGGAGCAAACGGGAUUAGAUACCCCGGUAGUCCUAGCCGUAAACGAUGGGCACUAAGUAGAGGGGUUUU